rnacentral:rRNA from 1 species
UACGUAGGGUGCGAGCGUUGUCCGGAAUUACUGGGCGUAAAGAGCUCGUAGGUGGUUUGUCGCGUUGUUCGUGAAAACUCACAGCUUAACUGUGGGCGUGCGGGCGAUACGGGGCAGACUGGAGUACUGCAGGGGGAGACUGGAAUUCCUGGUGUAGCGGUGGAAUGCGCAGAUAUCAGGAGGAACACCGGUGGCGAAGGCGGGUCUCUGGGCAUUAACUGACGCUGGAGGAGCGAAAGCAUGGGGAGCGAACAGG